rnacentral:rRNA from 1 species
UGCGUAGGCGGCGUUGUAAGUCAGAGGUGAAAGCCCGCAGCUAAACUGUGGAACUGCCUUUGAUACUGCAGUGCUUGAAUUAGGUUGAGGUCGGCGGAAUGUGACAUGUAGCGGUGAAAUGCUUAGAUAUGUCAUAGAACACCAAUUGCGAAGGCAGCUGGCUAGACCUAUAUUGACGCUGAGGCACGAAAGCGUGGGGAGCGAACAGGAUUAGAUACCCUGGUAGUCC